UCGAGAAUCAUUCGCAAUGGGCGAAAGCCUGACGGUGCGACGCCGCGUGGAGGAUGAAGGCCCUAGGGUCGUAAACUCCUGUCAUCAGGGAGUAAGGGCUCAUAUAGUAACUGCUAUGGGUCUUGAUAGUACCUGAAGAGGAAGGGACGGCAAACUUCGUGCCAGCAGCCGCGGUAAUACGAAGGUCCCAAGCGUUGUUCGGAUUUACUGGGCGUAAAGAGUCUGUAGGCGGUGGGGUAAGUCAGAUGUG
rnacentral:rRNA from 1 species